rnacentral:tRNA from 7 species
GGGCAGGUGCCUGAGUGGCCAAAAGGAUCGGUCUGUAAAACCGACGCGCCUAGCGCUACGGAGGUUCGAACCCUCCCCUGCCCACCA